GAGCACGUUGCUCUGCUGGAACUGGGUUAUAAACUGGGGGAAGGCACCUUCCCGACCCUGAAAGCUUAUGGCCCAGCUAGGCAAAAGCAGGAAGAGGCGGCAUCUGAAAAAUAUCUCUGAUACAAGGCAGAAAAUGGCACAUGAUGCACCAGAGAUAAAGGCCACAGGCAGGGCCACACCAGAUGACAGACCUCAACUCUACUUGUCCCUAUGUGGAACCUUCCUCCUCUGGUGGACCUCAGACAAGCCUUGUAACCUCAGGGAGCCUCAAUCUCCUCAUCUGUCAGAGGGAAGCAAUAAGAUGAUGGUGAGAUCCAUUUCCCAGAAAACUGUUUUAAAGCAGAUGCAGAAGUGGUUUCCACGACCUUCCGAUGGUCCACACUGAUAUGGACAGACCUUAGAUGAUUCAGAGAUCAUCAGACUGAACAGUCUUUGACAUUGGCUCCUGCUCUACUGGGGAAAAAAAGGCAAGUAGGUUAGGGCCCACAUUUUUUCCCCGUCAUGCUGUCUCCCUCGCCUUCACCUUCCUGAGAAUUCCUAGAGGUCCUGGGAGAGGGUGCGAUGUGAGCUUGCUGGCACGACACACACAGCUGGAGCGGCCACGGCCCUGUGAGCUCAUUCACAAGUAUGCGCAAGUGGAUGGCACACAUGUUGCAUGUAUGCUAGCCUGCG
rnacentral:lncRNA from 1 species